UACGGGGGGGGCAAGCGUUGUUCGGAAUUACUGGGCGUAAAGGGCUCGUAGGUGGCCAACUAAGUCAGACGUGAAAUCCCUCAGCUUAACUGGGGAACUGCGUCUGAUACUGGAUGGCUUGAGUUUGGGAGAGGGAUGCGGAAUUCCAGGUGUAGCGGUGAAAUGCGUAGAUAUCUGGAGGAACACCGGUGGCGAAGGCGGCAUCCUGGACCAUUACUGACGCUGAUGAGCGAAAGCCAGGGGAGCAAACGGG
rnacentral:rRNA from 1 species